UAUUAAAUCAAGAUAAAGGCAAUCAUUUUUUUCUGUUGGUAGAGCACUCAAUGGGCUAGGGCGGCCUCAUUUCGCCUUACCAACCCAAGAAAUUCCGAAUACAUGCCUAGAUCAUUUGUACAGACAGACAGGGAAAUAGCCCAGAUCGUACGCUAAGGUCUAUAAGCAAUCACUUAGUGGAAAAGGAAGUGACCGAGCGAUGACAACCAGGAGGUGGGCUUGAAAGCAGCCAUCCUUUGAAGAAAGCAUAAUACCUCACUGGUCUAGCUCCAUGGCACCGAAAAUAUAUCAGGGCUCAAGUGAUUCACCGAAGCGACGAGACCUUGAAAGCUACUUUUGUUAUUCAAUCUGUAAUG
rfam:Nicotiana attenuata strain TT chromosome 8, whole genome shotgun sequence.